AAACCCCAUUGAUCAUGAAGGCCCUUGGAGGUUUCCUGCUCCUCACUCUGAUGAUGUUCUUCCUCUACUCAGGUCUAUUGUGAUGAGUAUCCAAAAGAAGCAUGUACUAUGGAGUACCAACCUCAUUGUGGUUCCGAUAACAAAACAUAUCGCAGUAGGUGUAUGUUCUGCAAUGCAUAUAUUUGGAGUGACGGAAGACUUGGACUGAAAUACUUGCGAGACUGCUGAUAAUCUGAAGUUGCACAAGAAUAAGAACAUUUAUGACAAAGAAGAGCCAUCCCUCUUUAUCCCUUGCUUACAGCAUCACUAGAAACGAAUCACUUCUUUCAAUUGUUAACUGAUGAACAUCUUGCAGCAUUUUUAUUUGAUUUAUAAAUAAAUGAUCUAA